GAUGAAGAACGUAGUGAAAUGCGAUAAGUAAUGCGAAUUGCAGAAUUUCCGUGAGUCAUCGAAUCUUUGAACGCACAUUGCGCCCACUGGUAUUCCGGUGGGCAUGCCUGUUCGAGCGUCAUUAUCCUCCCUCAAACCCCGGGUUUGGUGUUGGACCCAAGUUGUGUGAACAACUGGUCUCAAAGACAAUGACGGCGUCCGUGGGACCCUCGGUGCAACGAGCUUUUAGGAGCACGCAUCGAGUUGCAAGGACCUUCCGGGCCGGUCUCCUUUACCAUUUUACAAGGUUGACCUCGGAUCAGGUAGGAAUACCCGCUGAACUUAAGCAUAUCAAUAAGCGGGGA
rnacentral:misc_RNA from 1 species